AAACUAGAGAGCGAACGACAAAGAGAAAUCUAGUCAAAAAUAGAAAGUGGAGAGUGGAAAAAACUGAGAUGACAAUCACGCAUCUACUUCUAUCAGACCCGUACUCUCCACUGAUCUUCAUGGAUCAAUUUGGUGUUGUAUCUCAACAAAAAGGUUAUCAUCCUCUGUUGCCAUUCGUUCAACAAAAAUGGGCAAAAGAUAAGGAAACUCUUCCCCUUUUCAUGCUUUGUUUAUUUCAUUUAUGCAACUUCAUACACACAAGGUCAAAGAGUUCACAAAUCACAAUGAUUGAGGCAUGUAAUUGCGUUACAAUGAAUAUCAUAAUUUAAUGCUUCAUCUAGAUGCCAAACUUAGGAUUUAAUGUCAAAAUCAAAGUUUGAGAGGGAAUUUGCAGCUUGAAAGUGGAUGGAUUAAUUGCAUUUUGU